AACAAGAUCAGAUUGUACAAAAAGUAAUAAACUAAUCAAUACUCUGCAGUAGAAGAUCAACUUAAGUAAAACCAGCAUUAAAGGGAUGGUUCACCCAAAAAUGAAAAUGCACUCAUUAUCUACUCACCACUAUGCCGAUGGAGGGGGUGGGUGUGAUUGAGUCCACAAAACGCUUCUGGAGGCUUUUGGAGGGUAAACAGCAUUGCAGCAGAAUCCAAUACAAUUGAAAUGGUGACCCAUUCUUCAAACGUAACAAACAAUAGAAAAAAACAUAAAAUGCCUCCAUACUGCUCCUGUGGUGUCAUCCAGUCAUACACUGUUAUCGGCAUAGUGGUGAGUAAAUAAUGAGUGAACAAUCCCUUUAAGCUUGAAAAAAUAGCAGCCCAUAUCAGCCAGCUUUUGGUUAUGACAGACAUAAUGUAAUGCCAAUGCAUAUGCCAGCCAAUAGGUGUUAAGAACUUUAAGUAAAUGCCAAAUAUAUGAUUGGGGUAAUUUUACAUAAUGUUUCUAAUUAUGUGUAAGCAUUGUUGUCCAACUUAUAUCACACGUGAGACAUUCCACUAUAUGUCAUCUCAAUGUAAAAAUAUGCUAUACUGAAUAUGAUUGAACUCAUAACUAAACCCUUAGAUGUGUAGCAUUUUAAAGAAGAUCCUCAAAAUGCUACACAUCAAUCUUUAGUUACACAUUUAGGCCCAUCUAUUUUUAACCAAUAGAUGGGCCAACACUACUAACAGUAGUGUUGGGACCUGCCAACAUUCUGCCAACGGGCAUCUAGCCUGCUGAAAAGUAAAAGAAGGGGAAAGUUUAUGCUUCAUUCAGUUUCCUCCGUCAGUCGGCAGGCAGGUAGACAGGAUGGCUGUUGGGACAUUUUUCUCCAAAACGAGGAGCUACAUCAGUUCCUGCCAGUGAACCACAGCCAGAUGUUGUGUCAGGUUUAUGAAUGGGCAGAGCUGUAUUGAGCUAACUGCAGCUAAAGAGCUAAUCCCAGGUAAAGUUAUUCAAGAUUCAAGAUUCUUUAUUGUUACAUCCCCAUUAUACAACUAUGAGUAUGUAAGGCAUACUUUAGGCUACAGGCAGGGGUCAGGACUGGGGAGAGAAAAUGAGUAGGACAGAAUGAAACCUGUGGAGGAAAGGAAGCAGUACAACAUGAGGACUGAGAUGAUAAGGAGAGUGAGAAAGGUUUGAAAAUCAGAGGAGUGAAGAAACGAGGAGUUAAUUGGAACAGAGGUACCAGAAGCAGAUAAGAGAAUAAGAUGUGAGACCAGAGAAUAACAUAUAAGAUAAGAUAUGCAGAUGUAAAACUUUUUUACAUCUUCAGUUCAUGACCAGAAAUCGUAUUACUUUUUUGUGUAAUAUUUUCUUCUUUCAGUGGCUAUGAGUCAUUUUUCUGGAUCAUAGAAGGAAUAGUGAUCAUCCUGAACAGUGAGUCCAACGCGCUGCUGACUGAAUCUUAGUGAGUUUAUAACAAUUGUGAUCAAGAUUGAAACUUCUAAAAGACAUUUCAGGUGAUGGUGAGUCGAUUGUAAUUAAUGAUCCAAACUCAAAUUGAAUGUCAUGUUUGCAGUAGUUAUACAAUGCAGUAAAAGGUCUGCACAUUCAAACCAAGUCUUUUGAGCCUUUUUCUUUUCUGAUGAUAUAUCUUCCAGUUAUAGCUUAUGACAGACAUGAUGUCAAUAUAUAUCAGCCAAUGGGUAUCAAGUUCAUUCAUCAAGAAAUGCCAAAUAUAUGCUUGAGGUUAUUAAUUGUCUCUUUCACAUAAUUUUUCCACUGAACAGUGAAAUGUCUCACUCUGUGUAUAUCUUUGUGUGUAAGACACCCUUAUUGAAAAUGUGGUGGGUAUCAUGUGUUUAGACUAAAAAAUAUCUACAUUUAUUGUUAUUUGAUUUUUGUUUCAUUAAAUAGUGAUGUUGCUAU